UGGGGAAUAUUGGGGCAAUGGACGCAAGUCUGACCCAGCAACGCCGCGUGAAGGAAGAAGGCUUUCGGGUUGUAAACUUCUUUUAAGAGGGAAGAGCAGAAGACGGUACCUCUUGAAUAAGCCACGGCUAACUACGUGCCAGCAGCCGCGGUAAUACGGAGGAUGCGAGCGUUAUCCGGAUUUAUUGGGUUUAAAGGGUGCGCAGGCGGCGCGAAAAGUCAGCGGUCAAAGUUCCGGGCUCAACCCGGUGACGCCGUUGAAACUUUCGGGCUGGAGUUCGUGCGAGGGAGGCGGAAUGCGUUGUGUAGCGGUGAAAUGCAUAGAUAUGACGCAGAACCCCGAUUGCGAAGGCAGCUUUCCAGCACGCGACUGACGCUGAGGCACGAAAGCGUGGGGAGCGAACAGGAUUAGAUACCCUGGUAGU
rnacentral:rRNA from 1 species